GCUGAUCCUGCGCCGCUGCACUGGAUGUCAGAGACCUCGUAAUCCUGGGCAACGGUGGCGGCAACCUGAAACAAUACGACAGUCAUUCAUCUACACAGGUUUGCUCGAACGACAUUCGUGACCUCCUGGUUCACUGAUUUUUCAUCAAUAAUCUUGAAUGGACGACGAUAUGAAACGAGCGGAUUUACGAAAAAUUCGCGGCGAAAUUGGAAAAACGCGAUCCAAAUGCAGCCGCGUAAUUAACGAUUUCAAGUCGGGCUAAUAAAUUACCUUGGAUCAUCUGUGUCAGCUGCAUGCAUAUUAAAUAGCAGAAUAUUAAAACUACAUAAAAUUAUAAAUAAUUCAUAGAUUUUUCGCGUAGUUACCUUAAUUAGCAAUUAAGGUGUCACAUGGAUGUAAACACUACAGAGAUAAUUAAUUUCGAUGUUGUCACAUAUAUUGUGUUUUUUAUCCGUUGGCUAGAAAAAACAAGAUACUGAAUUUGUUGCGUAAGUGUUUUAACAUAGAAAAUUACUUAGUCCCUUUUAUCUAAACUGUUUUAUGAUGUUCGAAAGAAAUAAAACCAUGUCAAUACCUGACUUAUCAUUAUAAUAUGAAAUAUACAUCAUUUCUGUGUUCUGUAAGAUCUAGAGGUACAUUUAUAUUGAUGUAUGUGUCAAUAUUAUAUCUAUCAUAUUAUUGAUAACUUUCUUAUAUACUUAUAUAAACAAAAGAAUUGGUAGGAUCUAUAUAGUUAGUUAACAUACUAACAACAUUAGUCAUUUAGCUUGUAACUGUAAUGUGCAAUGGAAUCUAAUGUUACUGGUUGGUAAGUCAUUGUACAUCGAACUAUUGGUGAAUCUUAUUCCAAUUAUACAAUCGCUUACAAUUUUGCGUACGUUGGCAAGCAAAAGAAUGGGUAACAUACGUUCGAAUACAGUUAUUCGAACAUGCUCUCUGGUUAUUUCAGUGACAAAUUAUAGAUAGUGAAGAAAAUCAGCGAUCUCCUGUUAUAAGAUAUCCAGUUAUCCAAAUCGUUUCCUCAGGUAUAAGUAGAAUUAAGUAGAAAUAACGACAAGUAGGAUCCUAAUGUCUACUACCCAUGUACAUAAUUCUACCACAAAAGUUUGAAACAUAUUGGAAUUCCAAAAGAAAUAAUGACUUCCUCAUGUAGGAGUAAAAGAUAAAUUCUGAGCAAACAAAAACGAAAAGAUCCGAUCGUUCAACGAAAUUUUAAAUCCAUGGCCGAAAUAAGUUACUAAUUCAGAAAUCGAUACGGUUAAAGAGUUAAUAAGCAUUGAGCCAUUACUUGGCCGAUAUGGCGUGCGUCGAAACUGUUAUUGUAACAGCACUUUAAUCGGACACGGGUGAAGCAAACGACGCUGAAACACAAAGUUUUCGAUGGAAUUGGAACGUCCGACGAUGAUUUCCGAAUCGUUAAACGGAAACUAUUCGCAUUAAAGAAGAAACCGACCGGUUGGAAGGGAAAAAUAAGAGGACCCCAGUUACUGCGUGGUCGUGACAGUCGAGGUAUCCAAUUUGUGGAGUUAAUAGAAGUUUGAUCAAGCCUUGUUUCAAAUUGAAUGCCAAACUAUGGAUUGCUGCCGGUCGAUAGGACUUUUAUCGAAACGUUAAUGUUUUUUCGAUCGAUCGUCCGACACCGGUCGGGUCUCGUUCGAUGAACGAACGCGAUCCUGUUCUCUGUAUCACGAAAUUCAAUUGAAACUGCGAAUAAUAAUGCUACCGAUUGUAGCCGUAAUAAUGGCAAACUCGACGGCGGUAAUAGGAACGCUGUAUCGCUGCGUUUCUGUUUAUUUCGUAUAAAUCGCCGCUUAUCGAAAUUGGAACGUAACACUUCACUUUUUUAUCAUACUGUAAGGUACUUUCCACAGUCGUAUACGUAUCGCCUUCUCAACUUUUUCAUAUUUCAGAGACUUACGGGUAAAGUGUGAUACGAAUGAAAAUGACUUGAAUUUGAAAAAAUUGUGAUCAAGUAGACUACGGAUUUCUGUGCAUUUAUACGAAAUUUCAAGAAAUGGAAAAAUAAAGAAUUAUAAAAAUAGAAUACGGUAGAAUAUAUACAAUAGGGAAAAAUACAUCAAACUUCCAAGAUAGCGUAUUUGCCGUUAUUUUUUUUAUAGAUGUUAUAAAUUUCUAUUCAGAUUCUAUUCCUUUCCUUGUACUGACAAAAAUGUAAAUUUGCAUAAUAAUCCGCAGUCAAAUACAUAAUUAAAUUUCAUCGAUAUCGAUAAAUAAUUA